rnacentral:rRNA from 1 species
CCUACGGGGGAGCAGCAGUGAGGAAUAUUGGUCAAUGGCCGGAAGGCUGAACCAGCCAAGCCGCGUGAAGGACGAAGGUGCCAAGCAUUGUAAACUUCUUUUGUCAAGGGACAAAAUCAGGCUCGAGAGCCUGACCGAGGGUACUUGAAGAAAAAGCAUCGGCUAACUCCGUGCCAGCAGCCGCGGUAAUACGUAGGUGGCAAGCGUUGUUCGGAAUAACUGGGCGUAAAGGAUGCGUAGGCGGUUAAACAAGUUAUAUGUUAAAUAUAUAGGCUUAACCUGUAGAAAGCAUAUAAAACUGUUUAACUAGAGUGCAGGAGAGGUAAGUGGAAUUCCUAGUGUAGCGGUGAAAUGCGUAGAGAUUAGGAAGAACACCAGUGGCGAAGGCGACUUACUGGACUGUAACUGACGCUGAGGCAUGAGAGCAUGGGGAGCAAACAGGAUUAGAUACCCGAGUAGUC